AAAAAAAAAAAAAAAAUUAUAGAGCAAAUAACUGAGGAAGAAGUAGGGAUUGUUGACAUUACUGGCUCUCUACAGCUAAAUGCUUUCUUGUUUACCUGCCUGGUGUACUGAAAAGAUCUGAGCACUAAUCCCUGUUCUGGUAUUUAAUAAUAAUGCAACCUUGGGCAGUUUCUUAAUACUUAUGUCUAAAGUGUGGUUGGUAAUACCUACCUGACUGGGUUGAUGAAGAUUAAAUGAGCCGGGUGUGGUGGCUUACGCCUGUAAUCCCAGCACUUUGGGAGUCCAAGGCGGGUGAAUCGCCUGAGCUCAGGAGUUUGUUUGUUUUUUUGUUUUUUUGUUAUUGAGACGGAG
rnacentral:lncRNA from 1 species